AAAGAGUUUGAUCCUGGCUCAGGAUAAACGCUGGCGGCGCACAUAAGACAUGCAAGUCGAACGGACUUAAUCGAUUCUUUUAGAUUCGAAGCGGUUAGUGGCGGACUGGUGAGUAACACGUAAGCAACCUGCCUAUUAGAGGGGAAUAACAGUGAGAAAUCACUGCUAAAACCGCAUAUGCCGUGAACAUCGCAUGAUGAAAACGGGAAAAGAGCAAUCUGCUAAUAGAUGGGCUUGCGUCUGAUUAGCUAGUUGGUGUGGUAAAGGCAUACCAAGGCAACGAUCAGUAGCCGGACUGAGAGGUUGAACGGCCACAUUGGGACUGAGAUACGGCCCAGACUCCUACGGGAGGCAGCAGUCGGGAAUAUUGCGCAAUGGAGGAAACUCUGACGCAGUGACGCCGCGUAUGGGAAGAAGGUUUUCGGAUUGUAAACCAUUUUAGACAAGGAAGAAAGAAGACAGUACUUGUAGAAUAAGCUCCGGCUAACUACGUGCCAGCAGCCGCGGUAA
rnacentral:rRNA from 1 species